rnacentral:rRNA from 1 species
AUUGAACGCUGGCGGCAUGCCUUACACAUGCAAGUCGAACGGUAACGGGCCUUCGGGUGCCGACGAGUGGCGAACGGGUGAGUAAUGUAUCGGAACGUACCUUUCAGUGGGGGAUAACGUAGCGAAAGUUACGCUAAUACCGCAUAUUCUGUGCGCAGGAAAGCAGGGGAUCGCAAGACCUUGCGCUGAUUGAGCGGCCGAUAUCAGAUUAGCUAGUUGGUAAGGUAAAGGCUCACCAAGGCGACGAUCUUUAGCGGGUCUGAGAGGAUGAUCCGCCACACUGGAACUGAGACACGGUCCAGACUCCUACGGGAGGCAGCAGUGGGGAAUUUUGGACAAUGGGGGCAACCCUGAUCCAGCCAUGCCGCGUGAGUGAAGAAGGCCUUCGGGUUGUAAAGCUCUUUCGGCCGGGAAGAAAUCGUAUCAGCUAAUACCUGGUGCGGAUGACGGUACCGGCAUAAGAAGCACCGGCUAACUACGUGCCAGCCGCCGCGGUAACAC